AGAGUUUGAUCAUGGCUCAGGAUGAACGCUAGCGGGAGGCCUAACACAUGCAAGCCGAGCGGUAGAGAUUCUUCGGAAUCUUGAGAGCGGCGUACGGGUGCGGAACACGUGUGCAACCUACCUUUAUCUGGAGGAUAGCCUUUCGAAAAGGAAGAUUAAUACUCCAUAAUAUAUUGAUUGGCAUCAAUUGAUAUUGAAAGCUCCGGCGGAUAGAGAUGGGCACGCGCAAGAUUAGUUAGUUGGUGAGGUAACGGCUCACCAAGACGAUGAUCUUUAGGGGCCUGAGAGGGUGAUCCCCCACACUGGUACUGAGACACGGACCAGACUCCUACGGGAGGCAGCAGUGAGGAAUAUUGGUCAAUGGGUGCAAGCCUGAACCAGCCAUCCCGCGUGAAGGACGACUGCCCUAUGGGUUGUAAACUUCUUUUGUAUAGGGAUAAACCUACCCUCGUGAGGGUAGCUGAAGGUACUAUACGAAUAAGCACCGGCUAACUCCGUG
rnacentral:rRNA from 1 species